rnacentral:rRNA from 1 species
AUAAAAAACCAAUGCCUUCGGGCUCCUUGGUGAUUCAUGAUAACUUAACGAAUCGCAUGGCCUUGCGCCGGCGAUGGUUCAUUCAAAUUUCUGCCCUAUCAACUUUCGAUGGUAGGAUAGUGGCCUACCAUGGUUUCAACGGGUAACGGGGAAUUAGGGUUCGAUUCCGGAGAGGGAGCCUGAGAAACGGCUACCACAUCCAAGGAAGGCAGCAGGCGCGCAAAUUACCCAAUCCCAAUUCGGGGAGGUAGUGACAAUAAAUACUGAUACAGGGCUCUUUUGGGUCUUGUAAUUGGAAUGAGUACAAUUUAAAUCCCUUAACGAGGAACAAUUGGAGGGCAAGUCUGGUGCCAGCAGCCGCGGUAAUUCCAGCUCCAAUAGCGUAUAUUAAAGUUGUUGCAGUUAAAAAGCUCGUAGUUGAACCUUGGGUCUGGCUGCCCGGUCCGCCUAACCGCGUGCACUGGUGCGGCCGGAUCUUUCCUUCUGGCUAACCUCAUGCCCUUUACUGGGUGUGCU